GUGACAUCCGAGGUCCUUUCAAAGCGCGGGGGAGUGUAUCUUCAUCUUCGGAUCUUCCUCAACAAGCCAAAACUGAGGCAAGGAGGGCUCGAGGUCGAGGCGGUCGGAGACGGAUUUCGCCGCUGGGUCGUCUCGUUGCAAAGCACAACCUACGCCUCCGCCUCAUAGUCAUCAUCUCCUUCGUGCGCUUCUGCUCCUCUCUUCCCUGGAGCCCAGAUCUGGAGGUGAAGAUAAGUUGCGUUGAGCCAUGGUGUCGCUUCAGGUCGGGCACCCCCAAAUCCUAGUUCGCGCACAAGCUAGGGAUGUGAGUUUCUAUAUCGUCUUCUACUUUCCCUUCGGGUUGCUAGGCACACGCAUACGUGCUGGUCAUUGAAUUCGUGUCGGUGGCUAGCUUUCAAUUAUGCAUAUCCGGUGUAGAUGCCUAGGUUGUGCAUCUAAUCUUCAUGGUUAGGCGCUUGGUUGGUCCUGUACACUAGUCACCUUGAUUCCGUUUGAUUUGUAGCUAUUUGGGGGGGUCUAGUAGCAUUGCUUAUGUAUUCUGCUCAUGUUGUUUCACUAAAUGUUGCAUUAGUUAGAAUUUUAGUCUACUUGCUUAAUGCUGAUUUUCCAUACUAUUAAGGUCCUAAUUUUGGUGCAUAAAUUGAAAUAUGUUGAUUGUUUUAUUUAGAUGAUUCUGCUAAACAUUGUCAUGAGCAAACACCUGCAUAUAAAUUAGGUUAUCUUCCCCAUUUGCAGUUACAGGGAUUAUUUUUUAUCCUAUUAGAUAUCUCCCGAUAUCCUUAGUACUGGAGCCACGUACUCCCUCUGUCUCCACUGAUGAGUUGCCGAUGGGCCAAGGCCACCAAAAUAUUUACAUACAGUAUCCUUUUGUUCAACUUAUUAUGCAGAGAUUGUUCAUCGAAUAGCCCAUAUUUAUAUGUAUGGCAGUAGGCAUUAUUUAGCACUGAUUAUCUGACACGGUUUAUUAGAAGCUAUAGACCAAUGUCUCUAAAUUUUUUAUCUGGCUGGUAAUUUUCACUUUAGAUUUUUUAGAGAUUUGAUACAAUGCAUCUCGGACAGAAGUGGCAGCACGGAUGUGCUCCAUCAUCCAAUGUGUUUUUUUUCAAACACGCACCAAUUACUGUGUCAAGAGCACAGAAGCACAACAAGUCUUGAUGUGAUAUCAUCUAAUGCAGCUCUGCAACAGUGGAUUCAAAUCAGGUUGUUCUACAUCAGUUGAUUCUACAACAACACAUCUGUCCAGAUUAUUACAUGCGCUAUUUAUUUUCUGUGAUGUGUAGCAACUUUUUUUGAUAUCCAAGAGCAGUUGUUUUUGCAUCUAAAGAUGAUGCCGGCAUAAAAAUACUUUUUUGAUUCGUGUGUCAC